UGGGGAAUAUUGGACAAUGGGGGCAACCCUGAUCCAGCAAUGCCGCGUGUGUGAAGAAGGUCUUCGGAUUGUAAAGCACUUUCGACGGGGACGAUGAUGACGGUACCCGUAGAAGAAGCCCCGGCUAACUUCGUGCCAGCAGCCGCGGUAAUACGAAGGGGGCUAGCGUUGCUCGGAAUGACUGGGCGUAAAGGGCGUGUAGGCGGUUUACACAGUCAGAUGUGAAAUCCCCGGGCUUAACCUGGGAGCUGCAUUUGAUACGUGUAGACUAGAGUGUGAGAGAGGGUUGUGGAAUUCCCAGUGUAGAGGUGAAAUUCGUAGAUAUUGGGAAGAACACCGGUGGCGAAGGCGGCAACCUGGCUCAUGACUGACGCUGAGGCGCGAAAGCGUGGGGAGCAAACAGGAUUAGAUACCCUGGUAGUCCACGCUGUAAACGAUGUGUGCUAGAUGUUGGGUAACUUUGUUAUUCAGUGUCGCAGUUAACGCGUUAAGCACACCGCCUGGGGAGUACGGCCGC
rnacentral:rRNA from 1 species